rnacentral:rRNA from 1 species
UUAGUCCUACGGGACGCAGCAGUGAGGAAUAUUGGUCAAUGGGCGGGAGCCUGAACCAGCCAAGUCGCGUGAGGGAUGACGGUCCUACGGAUUGUAAACCUCUUUUGUCGGGGAGCAAAGCGAACCACGUGUGGUUCAUUGAGAGUACCCGAAGAAAAAGCAUUGGCUAACUCCGUGCCAGCAGCCGCGGUAAUACGGAGGAUGCGAGCGUUAUCCGGAUUUAUUGGGUUUAAAGGGUGCGCAGGCGGAGGUGCAAGUCAGCGGUCAAAUUGCGGGGCUCAACCCCGUACUGCCGUUGAAACUGC